UACGAAGGUCCCGAGCGUUGUUCGGAAUCACUGGGCGUAAAGGGAGCGUAGGCGGCGCGGUAAGUCAGAUGUGAAAUCCCGGGGCUCAACCCCGGAACUGCAUCCGAUACUGCCGUGCUAGAGGAUUGGAGAGGUAGCUGGAAUUCUUGGUGUAGCAGUGAAAUGCGUGGAGAUCAAGAGGAACACUCGUGGCGAAAGCGAGCUACUGGACAAUAUCUGACGCUGAGGCUCGAAGGCCAGGGUAGCGAAAGGG
rnacentral:rRNA from 2 species